rnacentral:rRNA from 1 species
UACGGAGGGAGCUAGCGUUAUUCGGAAUUACUGGGCGUAAAGCGCACGUAGGCGGCUUUGUAAGUUAGAGGUGAAAGCCUGGAGCUCAACUCCAGAAUUGCCUUUAAGACUGCAUCGCUUGAAUCCAGGAGAGGUGAGUGGAAUUCCGAGUGUAGAGGUGAAAUUAGAUAUCGGGAGGAACACCAGUGGCGAAGGCGGCGAUCUGGGAGGAUACUGACGCUGAGGUGCGAAAGCGUGGGGAGCAAACAGG